rnacentral:rRNA from 1 species
UCCGGUUGAUCCUGCCGGACCCGACUGCUAUUUGGGUGAGGAUAAGCCAUGCGAGUUGGAUGGGAUACCUAAACUUCCCAUAGCAAACUGCUUAGUAACACAUGAUCAACUUGCCCUAUGGAGAAAAAUAACCUCGGGAAACUGAGGAUAAUGUUUCAUAGUUGAAUAGGCUUGGAAAAGUUUUUCAAUGAAAGGAAUAAGAUAAAUGGUUCUUAUUUGCCAUAGGAUAGGAUCGUGGUCGAUUAUGGUAGUUGGUGAGAUAACGGCUCACCAAGCCGAUAAUCGAUAGGGGCCGUGAGAGCGGGAGCCCCAAGAUGGGUACUGAGACAGCGACCCAGGCCUUACGAGGCGCAGCAGGCGCGAGACCUCCGCAAUACACGAAAGUGUGACGGGGUUACCCAAAGUGUUCUCUUAAGAACUGUGGCAGGUGAGUAAUGUCCCCUGCUAGAAAGGAGAGGGCAAGGCUGGUGCCAGCCGCCGCGGUAAAACCAGCUCUUCAAGUGGUCGGGAUAAUUAUUGGGCUUAAAGUGUCCGUAGCCGGUUUAGUAAGUUCCUGGUAAAAUCGGGUAGCUUAACUAUCUGCAUGCUAGGAAUACUGCUAUACUAGAGGGCGGGAGAGGUCUGAGGUACUACAGGGGUAGGGGUGAAAUCUUAUAAUCCUUGUAGGACCACCAGUGGCGAAGGCGUCAGACUGGAACGCGCCUGACGGUGAGGGACGAAAGCCAGGGGAGCGAACCGGAUUAGAUACCCGGGUAGUCCUGGCCGUAAACGAUGCAUACUAGGUGAUGGUACGGCCAUGAGCCGUAUCAGUGCCGUAGGGAAUCCGUUAAGUGUGCCGCCUGGGAAGUACGGUCGCAAGGCUAAAACUUAAAGGAAUUGGCGGGGGAGCACCACAAGGGGUGAAGCCUGCGGUUCAAUUGGACACAACGCCGGGAAACUUACCAGGGGAGACAGUAGAAUGAUGGUCAGGUUGACGACCUUACCUUAUGAGCUGAGAGGAGGUGCAUGGCCGUCGCCAGUUCGUGCCGUGAGGUACCCUGUUAAGUCAGGCAACGAACGAGAUCCGCGCCUUUAUUUGCCAACAAGAAGUUACGACUUCGUUGGGAACACUAAAGGGACCGCCGUCGAUAAGACGGAGGAAGGAGCGGGCAAAGGCAGGUCAGUAUGCCCCGAAACCCCUGGGCUACACGCGGGCUGCAAUGGUAUGAACAAUGGGCUGUAACUCCGAAAGGAGAAACCAAUCCCGAAAUCAUAUCACAGUGGGGAUUGUUGGCUGUAACCCGCCGACAUGAACGUGGAAUCCCUAGUAAUCGUGUGUCAUCAUCGCACGGUGAAUACGUCUCUGCUCCUUGCACACACCGCCCGUCGCUCCAUCCGAGUGUACUAAAAAUGAGGUUUGGUCAGACUGGUCAUAUCGAGUUUCUAGUAUGCGAGGAGGGAGAAGUCGUAACAAGGUAGCCGUAGGGGAACC